GUAGGGAAUAUUGGACAAUGGGCGAAAGCCUGAUCCAGCCAUGCCGCGUGAUAGAUGAAGGCCCUCUGGGUUGUAAAUAUCUUUUAUCUGGGAAGAAACUCCUCUAUUCUUAGAGGCCUGACGGUACCAGAGGAAUAAGCACCGGCUAACUCCGUGCCAGCAGCCGCGGUAAUACGGAGGGUGCAAGCGUUAUCCGGAUUCACUGGGUUUAACGGGUGCGUAGGCGGGUUGAUAAGUCAGUGGUGAAAGCUCCGGGCUUAACUUGGAAACUGCCAUUGAUACUGUCAGUCUUGAAUGUCGUAGAGGUAAGCGGAAUGUUGCAUGUAGCGGUGAAAUGCUUAGAUAUGUUACAGAACACCAAUUGCGAAGGCAGCUUACUAUGCGAUAAUUGACGCUGAGGCACGAAAGCGUGGGGAGCAAACAGGAUUAGAUACCCUUGUAGUCC
rnacentral:rRNA from 1 species